UACAGAGGUCUCAACCGUUGUUCGGAUUCAUUGGGCGUAAAGGGUGCGUAGGCGGCGGGGCAAGUCAGGUGUGAAAUCUCGGGGCUCAACCCCGAAACUGCACUUGAUACUGCCUCGCUUGAGUACUGGAGAGGAGACUGGAAUUUACGGUGUAGCAGUGAAAUGCGUAGAUAUCGUAAGGAAGACCAGUGGCGAAGGCGAGUCUCUGGACAGUUACUGACGCUGAGGCACGAAGGCCAGGGGAGCAAACGGG
rnacentral:rRNA from 1 species